CGAUCUAGCAGUUAAAGUAUCGGAUAUUAUACGUCAGUGUGAUGAACACAAUAAAGAACAUUUUGGGUGGUGUCCACAUGGAUAUCGAUAUGGAGAACAAGUGCUUUGGCCUGGUGACACCAGAACACUAGCAGAGGUCGGAAUCCCACCUAACGCAAUGAUCCACUGUGGCCCAACAAUAGAAGCGAUGAUGGAUGCAGCCAAACAGGCACAUGAAAAUCAUUCUGCAAAAUGAGAUGUUGUGCUGCACCAAUGCAGACGCACCAAACGUGAGCGCCAACAAGAAUGGUCAUAAAGAACACGCGUUACGUUUUCUUUAAAUCUAAUCAAAACCAACUGUGACAGCUGUGACAUGUAAUUUUUAAAAUUGUUACUCAUCUACUCUUAAGUUCAACUCUUACAUUUGUAACUCUAAGGUAAUUUAUAAGUUGUGUAUAUUGUGUAAAUAGAAUCUACAGGUAUAUGUGUGUGUGUUUUAAAAAAAUCUAAUUAUUAAGAGGAAAGCAAAUGUUGUAUGUGUUUAAUUGACCUGAAAAAGACACUGGACAUACGGAACUACUUCCAUAUCGAAGUAACUGGUAACGUGAGCUACUUGCCAACGGCUAAGUACAAGAAGAACCGAGAACAUAUAUGUAAUACGAUACGUGAAUGUACAAGGUAACAAUGUAUAACACUGUAUUGCAGUUUACUUUCUUUUCCUUUGAAUAGCUUAAUACAUACCACCGCAAAGAACAUACAGUGUAGGUAUAAAGUGCGCGUCAUUCAUUUACCUGUACAAUUUGCUGAAUCUGCUCACAACCUUCAUUCAGCCUUGUUCGC